rnacentral:rRNA from 1 species
CCUACGGGAGGCAGCAGUGAGGAAUAUUGGUCAAUGGGAGGAAUCCUGAACCAGCCAUGCCGCGUGCAGGACGACGGCUCUACGAGUUGCAAACUGCUUUUGUACCGGGGUAAAAUGCUCUACGAGUAGGGUUUUGAAAGUACGGUACGAAUAAGGAUCGGCUAACUCCGUGCCAGCAGCCGCGGUAAUACGGAGGAUCCGAGCGUUAUCCGGAUUCAUUGGGUUUAAAGGGUGCGUAGGUUGUUUUAUAAGUUAGCGGUGAAAUACCGAUGCUCAACAUCGGGGCUGCCGCUGAAACUGUAGGACUAGAGAUCGGAUGCAGCAGGCGGAAUGUGUAGUGUAGCGGUGAAAGGCAUAGAUAUUACACAGAACACCGAUUGCGAAGGCAGCUUGCUAGGCCGGAUCUGACACUGAUGCACGAAAGCGUGGGUAUCGAACAGGAUUAGAUACCCUUGUAGUC